CGGGGAGUGGCGCAGUCUGGUAGCGCACCUGGUUUGGGACCAGGGGGCCGGAGGUUCGAAUCCUCUCUCCCCGACCA
rnacentral:tRNA from 3 species